AUGGAAGGUGUGGAGCACUGAGGAGGCUAUCCUGGUAGUGCUUGUGAGGGCUGAUGAACUGGGUGGUGGAGGAGGAGGAAGAAUAGAGGAUGAAUUCAGAGUUGUUAAGGAGGUCAAAGUGGCGAGCAUUCUCAUUCAUUAGAUGCAGAAUUGAGAGUGAGAAGGUAUCGAGGUCAACUGGAUUUCUGGCUUGUAUAAUUGGAUGCUGGCUGGAACCAUUGAUGGGGCAAACUGAAAGAUUCUGGCUUUUUUAAAAGCCAAACUCCAUGUCCCUCUCUCCCCUUGGCCAGAAAGAAAGUAGAUGUUUUCUGAAACAGAAAGAGGUUUGCUUUGCUUCAAAGACGUUGAACAGGGUGCCUUGUUUGUGUCGCUGAGAGCCCUGCACAUCCUUCUAUGUGAGCCGACUUGUCCAAGGCCGUGCAGCAGGCCACACUCCUGACACACUGGCCCAGGCACCCUUUUUUGGUGGCUGGUCCCCAAGCACCAGAGUCCCACCUGAGCCCUUGGCAGCCCAGAAACCUCGUGGCUCUCAAGAUGAUGCUGCUGGGACCCUCAAGCCUUCUCCGCCCACCGAGACAAUGGGCUCCAGAACCCAGCGAACAGCGCCCUGCCUGUGCGCCUUCCUCCUUCUGCUCUAAAUUGAUAUCUCCCCUGUGUGGCUGCAGAACCAUAUGUAUGAUUAAAGCUUGCAUGAUAGUCUUUG